rnacentral:rRNA from 1 species
AGAGUUUGAUCAUGGCUCAGAACGAACGCUGGCGGCAUGCUUAACACACGCAAGUCGAACGAGACCUUCGGGUCUAGUGGCGCACGGGUGCGUAACGCGUGGGAAUCUACCCUUUGCUACGGAAUAACUCAGAGAAAUUUGUGCUAAUACCGUAUGAUGUCGAAAGACCAAAGAUUUAUCGGCAAAGGACGAGCCCGCGUAGGAUUAGCUAGUUGGUGUGGUAAAGGCGCACCAAGGCGACGAUCCUUAGCUGGUCUGAGAGGAUGAUCAGCCACACUGGGACUGAGACACGGCCCAGACUCCUACGGGAGGCAGCAGUAGGGAAUAUUGGACAAUGGGCGAAAGCCUGAUCCAGCAAUGCCGCGUGAGUGAUGAAGGCCUUAGGGUUGUAAAGCUCUUUUACCCGGGAUGAUAAUGACAGUACCGGGAGAAUAAGCUCCGGCUAACUCCGUGCCAGCAGCCGCGGUAAUACGGAGGGAGCUAGCGUUGUUCGGAAUUACUGGGCGUAAAGCGCACGUAGGCGGCUAUUCAAGUCAGAGGUGAAAGCCCGGGGCUCAACCCCGGAACUGCCUUUGAAACUAGAUAGCUUGAAUCCAGGAGAGGUGAGUGGAAUUCCGAGUGUAGAGGUGAAAUUCGUAGAUAUUCGGAAGAACACCAGUGGCGAAGGCGGCUCACUGGACUGGUAUUGACGCUGAGGUACGAAAGCGUGGGGAGCAAACAGGAUUAGAUACCCCGGUAGUCCAA